AACGAACGCUGGCGGCAUGCCUAACACAUGCAAGUCGAACGAGACCUUCGGGUCUAGUGGCGCACGGGUGCGUAACGCGUGGGAACCUGCCCUUAGGUUCGGAAUAACUCCCCGAAAGGGGUGCUAAUACCGGAUAAUGUCUUCGGACCAAAGAUUUAUCGCCUUUGGAUGGGCCCGCGUUGGAUUAGCUAGUUGGUAGGGUAAAAGCCUACCAAGGCGACGAUCCACAGCUGGUCUGAGAGGAUGAUCAGCCACACUGGGACUGAGACACGGCCCAGACCCCCACGGGAGGCAGCAGGGGGGAAUAUUGAACAAUGGGCGAAAGCCGAAUCCCGCAAUGCCGCGUGAGUGAUGAAGGCCUUAGGGUUGAAAAGCUCUUUUACCCGGGAUGAUAAGGACAGACCCGGGAGAAUAAGCACCGGCUAACCCCGG
rnacentral:rRNA from 1 species